UGGGGUGUGAUGGAAUUGGAUAGACAUAAUAGACUUUGACUCUAUUGGAGAUUUCCGUGUGGGUUCGAAUCCCACCACCCUAG
rnacentral:tRNA from 2 species